UCUCUCACAUUCACACCUCGGGGCAAUUUCGAGUCCUCAAUCAACCUACCACGCAUGUUUUUGGGAUGUGGGAAGAAACCGGAGAACACGCAAACUCCACACUGGCGGGGCCGGGAUUUAAACCUCGGUCCCCGGAACUGUGAGGACGAUGUGCUAACCAGUCACCCGCCAGUUUUAAUUUUCUUUUCAUUACGUUUUUCAUUGAGCUCAAGCUGGCUGCGCGAGAAAGGUUACUCCUCCAUAAUGAGAUCAUUUGGACAAAUAGAGUCAAGGUGUUCUAUUUCCUCAUCAAACAAACAGAAUAUUAAGUCAACAUGUGAAGAGGUAGUUAAGUCUUGCUGUCAGUGGUACAGCACAUCACUGCUCACUUCAAGAACAAAGAACUGAUUCAAUUUCAACCUGUGUAGAGAAAAGGUGAACCAAUCAUGCCCAGACUGCUAAAGGUCACCCUGACGUUGGUCAUGUGUGUGCUCAUCUUAGCCACACCACCGCCCAUUGCAGAGGCCCACAAACACAGGAGAAUACCAUUGUCUGGUUUCAUCAAUUCCCCUUUCAAGCCACUUACCGGAGAAAUGCAAGAAAUGCCACUGGAAGCAAAAUUGGACAAAUGGGGAUGAGUGAGGAAAUACAGAACAUGUAAUUGCAACAAUUCUGUUCUCCUGUACAUCCAAAAUAAAAUGAAUAUGAAGCAUCA